AGUUAAUAAUUGAGAAAAAAAAAAGAAAUUAAUUUGUAUUGUAGAAGACAAUAGAAAGCAAAGUGUAUACCAAAAAUAAUAGAAAGCAAUGAAAAGAAAUCAACACCGAACCGAUCUGCAAUAGCGCCUGCAACCCCAACAGCUCCCACCGCAUCACUCGUCUGCGCUGCUCCGACACGGCUAGUAGCAGUGACCUCGAUUUUUCCACGCCACGCCACAAUAGCGGCCGCUUUU
rnacentral:lncRNA from 1 species